rnacentral:tRNA from 1 species
AGGCGUGUAGCUCAAUCGGUAAGAGCGCUGGUCUCCAAAACCAGAAGUUAGAGGUUCGAGUCCUCUCACGUCUGCCA